GAAAUAUCGAGAGAGAGAGAAAGACGAGACGGAGCGAGAGGCGAUGGAGGGAGAAGAGAGCGGCGACUCCCUCAACGGCGAUCUGAGACGGUGGUGGUCGGAGCUCCAGAAGGAGAAAGUGUAGAUCGAAAGACGGGAUGACCUCCUUAACGGGCAAGAGACUCAAGACUACAACAUCAAAGAGGAAGGAUAAGGAACCAGACCGCUCCUACUCUACCAAGUUCCUUUUCCCGCAAGCAUGAGCACCAUUUCAACAUUGUCCAGGAUAGGAGGUUACUAAUGGAAAGAAAGGCUGGACUGAUGCCUGAUUUUGCUCCAUAGUUUGGAGAACAAUUGGAGAACAGGAACUAGGGAAGGCUAGCCACUUAUCCUACACCAGCUAACAUAGUAGUGGUUAAAGAGUUUUACACCAACGCAAGGCAGUUGGGUGAUUAUCUUGUAGAGGAUUAUAUGAGCUAUGUUAGAGGACACACCAUCCUGUAUGACCCAAAUUCUAUUAGCUAGUUUCUAAAUACUGAAUGAGAUGGUGAGCAGUGUCAGUUUGUUUUAAAUAUCGAAGAAGGAGCAGACUUUGGUGAUGUGGAGAGUGUUCUAUGUGUGCCUGGAGGGCACUUUCAAAGAAAUAGGAAUGAUGCAGUUGUGAACAUCAGGAAAGCUGAUCUGACUCCUUUAGCAAAAUAUUGGAUGGCAUUUUCUCAUGCCAACAUCCAACCGUUCUCACAUGUUUCAGACAUUAUUGUCAGCAGGGCACUCCUUUUGUAUUGUGUGCUUAAAUCGAUGAUUAACAUUGGCCAGGUCAUAGCCAAUGAGAUACAGUUGUGUGCAAAUACCAUGAACAACAAGGCACCCUUGGAGCAUCCUCUUUGAUUACACAUCUCUGUGAGCUAGCUAGGGUGAAUACUUCUACACCGCCAUUUGAGAGGCCUAGGAAGGCAAUUGAUGAGGCUUACUACAGACAAUAUUGUGGCGGUGAUGAGGCAGCUCUGCCAGUACCACCACGUCAUCCUUGCAAAGGGAAAGGAGCACCACAUGGCCAGGUACUUGUAGAGCCUCAUGAGGCAGAGCCAUUUCAGAUGAGGGACAUGUAUAUGUCUCUUAUGGAUGUCAUGAUGUAGUCCCUUCACAGAGGGCAGGUGGCCACAACUGAGAUGAUCAUUAGGAUGUAUGAUACACCCCAAGGACAUAGGUGGACCAUGGAUGAGUUUAAUAAUGUGGUGGCGUGGCCAAAGGAGCAAGCCUAGGGCAGUGGAGCUGGAGCAGUUAGAGCUUCAACUAUGGAUGUUGAUGAUGAUGAGGAUGCUUUUAAAGAUGCUGAGGAUGAUGAAGAGGAGGAAGAUUUAGAUGACAACAUGGGCUGAUGAGGAGUUGAGAUAGCAUUUACUGAUGGAUGCUAUCAACACUAGGGUUUUAAGAUGAAUUGGAUGAAAGAAGUGUAGUGGCAUGGAGUUGGAUUCAGAAAAGGAAGAAAAAGUGCACAAAAGAAGAGCCGCAAGUACCGCUCAGCGCCACUUUUACCGUUGAGUGGCAUUCUAAAGGACCGUAGUCAACGCUGAGGGCCAAAAUUGCAGUUAAGCGUCAAAAUAAAAGAAUCGCACUUAAUGUUGAGCGUUAAUUACCGCUGAGCGCCAUUUUAUUGGGCUUUGGGCCAAUAUUCUGUAAUUUUUAGAAAGCUAUAUAAGGUUUUAGUCGACCUAAGGGUCAUAUCUUUGGACAGAAAGAGGCAGAAUCACACUCUCUUCACCCCUUGGAGGAGGAUUUUGGAUGCUCAAGCUCCACUCUUCAACUUCUAGGGUUCUAUCUUUCACUCUAGUUUAACCAUGUCUAUGGUGAACUAAACCUCCAUUGUUGUUGGGGAACCAUUGCCAUCCUUUGAAACUCUCAUGUAUUGAAUUGGUUCUUUAAU